CCCCCCGCCUGUCUGCCACUUCUGCAAACGUAAUGGAGCUUUUCUGGGCAGCCGGAGUGCAGCCGAGGCCCGGGCCCCACACAGGCGGGCCGGCCAGAUUUCCUUUACCUCACUCUCUUGGGCCCCCUCGGGGUCACAGUCUUGGAAUAAUCCACCUGGCAGCAGCGGGGGAGCCCCUGCAGGAACACGCCCCCCCCAAAGCCCCUCGCCUGAGGGGGGUGAAUCGUGAGCCAGCCAGCUUUCAGGGGGACCCUGCUGGCCUCCAAGGUCUGAGGGGCAAGGGGGCCUCCGGGCUAGGGCAGCUCUCCCUGGCCUCUUUGGCCCCAAGGUCCCCAGGUGGACAAAGCGGCCCCCGAGUGGACACAGCGGCCCCCGAGUGGACAAAGUGGCCCCCAGUGGACAAAGUGGCCCCUGAGGUCCCCGGGUGGACAAAGUGGCCCCUGAGGUCCCCGGGUGGACAAAGUGGCCCCCGAGUGGACAAAGCGGCCCCUGAGGUCCCCGGGUGGACAAAGUGGCCCCUGAGGUCCCCGGGUGGACAAAAUGGCCCCCGAGUGGACACAGCGGCCCCCGGGUGGACAAAGCGGCCCCUGAGGUCCCUGAGCGGUCACAAGUGGCCGAGCAUCGCAAAUGUUUCCUCGGGCCCUGACAGCUAUUGACCAGGAUGGAGGUUCUGGGUCAGGAUGGGGUGGGCCGAUGCCGCCAGGCCCCUUUGGCCCAGCCCGAGGCCCCGGGUCACCCUGGCUUCUGAUCGGCGCCUCCGCCAACAGCGCGAGGGUAGGUCGUUGCGGGGGCCGGACGCUAGGUGUCGCCGUCUCCCCGCGGUUUCAAUCAGGCAAAUUCCAGAGCCCUGACUCACCGCGCCGCGCCGCUGUCUGCGGUUCUGUGGCUCCAGAGCCCUAUGUGAGAAGUACGUCCACGGCAUGACGGGAGUAGUCCGGCAGGCCAAUGUCACCGGCUCGCUGAACAUGAAUUAUUUCUGAAGCAAAGGAAGAUGGUACCUGGGAAGGCGGCAACCUGGAUUCUGGGAGGGGCCUGGCUGUGAAGAUUCCCUGGUGGUGUCGGAAAGCUUCUUUCUACGUGGAGAGCCUUGGGAAGCGUUCUGUUACAUAGCUGAGGAAGGGGAGACCCCUCGGACCCAGAAGGGGAACAGGAGCUCCUUUUGCCCAGUCUGGCAUUUAUCCUGGGGUCUCCAUAGUGGUCUAGGGUGGUGGUAGUUUCCUCUUUAGCAGUGAUGAAGUAGUGCCAGAUACUGGUUCCAGUUCCAGCCCUGCCCCUGGGUUUCCUUGUUUUGCCUGCCAGUAGUACCAAGGUGCCAGGCUAGCACCUGCUCCUCCUCCUCCUCCUCUCCAUAGUCAGAGAGCCCCUGGUGACCCCACGUGGUUCUAUGUGAGUCAAUGUGAUGUGGCCUCCCUGUGCUGUGAUCUGCAUUGUGUUACUCCAAGUGGGGCUUGCUCUUCUGUGAUCUAGUUUACGAAAUGCCUGCAUCAACUUACUUGUGAAAAUGCAUUGAAAAGAUAACUCUUCAAGUCCACAAUGUGUAAAAUAAAGAAAAUAGCAAAGACCA